rnacentral:rRNA from 1 species
AAUAAAAAUAUCUUUGAUUGGGGCAAUCACGAAGAAAAAAAAACCUUCGAAAUAAAAAAAAAUAAACAAAUUUAAAAUAUACUAAAUAACUAGAUCCGGAAAUUACCGAACAAAGAAAAAAGUUACCGCAGGGAUAACAGCGUUAUUCUCUUUAAGAGUUCAUAUUGACAAGAGAGUUUGCGACCUCGAUGUUGGACCGAGGCACCCAAGAGAUGCAGCAGUCUCUAAAGGUAGGUCUGUUCGACCUUUAAAGCCUUACGUGAUCUGAGUUCAGACCGACGCAAGUCAGGUCAGUUUCUAUCUA